rnacentral:rRNA from 1 species
AGAAAGUAACAAAGGGCGCUUGGCGGAUGCCUAGGCUCUCAGAGACGAAGAAGGACGUGACAAGCUGCGAAAAGCUACGGAGAGGCGCACAUAGCUUAUGACCCGUAGAUAUCCGAAUGGGGCAACCCACUUAGUUGAAGACUAAGUAUUCCAAUUUAUUGGGAGGUCAACCUGGUGAACUGAAACAUCUAAGUAACCAGAGGAAAAGAAAACAAAAGUGAUUCUCUAAGUAGUGGCGAACGAACGGGGAACAGCCCAAACCAGAAUUGUUUCGGCAAUUCUGGGGUAGUAGGACUACAAUGUGGACUAAAAAUUAAUAGCUGAAUCCUUUGGAAAGAGGAGCGAUAGAGGGUGAUAGCCCCGUAAGCGAAAUUGAUUUUUUACCUAGUAGUAUCCUGAGUAGCACGGAACACGUGAAAUUCUGUGUGAAUCAGCCGGGACCAUCCGGUAAGGCUAAAUACUCCUGAGAGACCGAUAGUGAACAAGUACCGUGAGGGAAAGGUGAAAAGCACUCCGAACAGGAGGGUGAAAUAGUACCUGAAACCAAGCGCUUACAAGCGGAGGGAGCCUUCGGGUGACCUCGUGCCUUUUGCAUAAUGAGCCUACGAGUUACUCCUGUCUAGCAAGGUUAAGAGUUUAAGACUUGAAGCCGGAGCGAAAGCGAGUCUGAAUAGGGCGAUUUAGUUAGAUGGGGUAGACGCGAAACUGAGUGAUCUACCCAUGGCCAGGUUGAAGCUUUGGUAACACAGAGUGGAGGACCGAACCAGUACACGUUGAAAAGUGUUUGGAUGAGCUGUGGGUCGGAGUGAAAGGCUAAUCAAACUCAGAAAUAGCUCGUACUCCCCGAAAUGCAUUUAGGUGCAGCCUCAAAAUAAGUGUUGUAGAGGUAGAGCUACUGAUAGGGCUAGGGGGCUUCACCGCCUACCAAACCCUGACAAACUCCGAAUGCUACAACAUAUUUUUGGGAGUGAGGGCGCGGGUGCUAAGGUCCGUGUCCGAGAGGGAAACAACCCAGAUCAUCAGUUAAGGUCCCUAAAUGUAUGCUAAGUUGAACAAACGUGGUCCGACUGCUUUGACAGCUAGGAUGUUGGCUUGGAAGCAGCCAUUCAUUUAAAGAGUGCGUAACAGCUCACUAGUCGAGCGGUUAGGCGUGGAUAAUAAUCGGGCAUAAAGCAUACUACCGAAACUGUGAAUUAUAUGGUAGGGGAGCAUUCAAGUUGCGUUGAAGCUAAGCUGUGAGGCUUUGUGGAGCGACUUGAAAAGAAAAUGUAGGCAUAAGUAACGAUAAAGCAGGCGAGAAACCUGCUCACCGCUAGACUAAGGUUUCCUGAGCAACGCUAAUCGGCUCAGGGUUAGUCGGGAUCUAAGGCGAACCCGAAAGGGGUAGUCGAUGACGAAUCAGUUAAUAUUCUGAUACCUGCUAUACAUUAAAAGUGACGGAGUGAAUAAGGAUACGCGUACUGACGGAAUAGUACGUUAAACCCCGCUUGCGGGGGAUAGUACCACAAACCUUCGGGUGCGUGGAUAGUUAUCUGAAGAACUUCCAAGAAAAGCGAGUAUAGCAGCCCGUACCGCAAACCGACACAGGUAGUCAAGGAGAGUAUCCUAAGGUGCUCGAGUGAUUCAUGGCUAAGGAACUAGGCAAAAUGGCCCUGUAACUUCGGGAGAAAGGGCGCCCUAACUUCGGUUAGGGCCGCAGUGAAAAGAUCCAGGCGACUGUUUAUCAAAAACACAUGGCUUUGCGAAAUCGAAAGAUGAAGUAUAAGGCCUGACACCUGCCCGGUGCUGGAAGGUUAAGGGGUGGAGUUAUCUUCGGAGAAGCUCUAAACCGAAGCCCCAGUAAACGGCGGCCGUAACUAUAACGGUCCUAAGGUAGCGAAAUUCCUUGUCGGGUAAGUUCCGACCUGCACGAAUGGUGCAACGAUCUGGAUACUGUCUCGGCCAUGAGCUCGGUGAAAUUGUAGUAUCGGUGAAGAUGCCGGUUACCCGCAACGGGACGGAAAGACCCCGUGAACCUUCACUACAACUUCACAUUGAUAUUGGGUAAUUCAUGUGUAGGAUAGGUGGGAGACUUAGAAGCGGCCUCGCUAGGGGCUGUGGAGUCGUCCUUGAAAUACCACCCUUGAAUUGCUUGAUGUCUAAUCCUGCAAAGGAGACAGUGUGUGGUGGGUAGUUUGACUGGGGUGGUCGCCUCCAAAAGAGUAUCGGAGGCUUUCAAAGGUGCCCUCAGUACGCUUGGUAACCGUACGAAGAGUGCAAUAGCAUAAGGGCGCUUGACUGUGAGACCUACAAGUCGACCAGGUACGAAAGUAGGAUAUAGUGAUCCGGUGGUUCCGCAUGGAAGGGCCAUCGCUCAAAGGAUAAAAGGUACUCCGGGGAUAACAGGCUGAUCUCCCCCAAGAGCUCACAUCGACGGGGGGGUUUGGCACCUCGAUGUCGGCUCGUCACAUCCUGGGGCUGGAGAAGGUCCCAAGGGUUGGGCUGUUCGCCCAUUAAAGUGGCACGCGAGCUGGGUUCAGAACGUCGCGAGACAGUUCGGUCCCUAUCUGUUGUGGGCGUUAGAAGCUUGAGAGGAUCUGACCUUAGUACGAGAGGACCGGGUUGGACAAACCGCUAGUGUACCUGUUGUGGCGCCAGCUGCAUCGCAGGGUAGCUAUGUUUGGAUGAGAUAAGCGCUGAAAGCAUCUAAGCACGAAACUCACCUCAAGAUGAGGCUUCUUUAAAGGGUCGUUCAAGACUAGGACGUUGAUAGGCUGCAAGUGUAAAGUCAGUAAUGGCAUAGCUGAGCAGUACUAAUUACCCGUAGCUUUCAA